rnacentral:rRNA from 1 species
UACGGGGGGGGCAAGCGUUGUUCGGAAUUACUGGGCGUAAAGGGCUCGUAGGUGGCCAACUAAGUCAGACGUGAAAUCCCUCAGCUUAACUGGGGAACUGCGUCUGAUACUGGAUGGCUUGAGUUUGGGAGAGGGAUGCGGAAUUCCAGGUGUAGCGGUGAAAUGCGCAGAUAUCAGGAGGAACACCGACGGCGAAGGCAGCUUACUGGGCCGAUACUGACGCUGAGGAGCGAAAGCGUGGGGAGCGAACAGG